rnacentral:rRNA from 1 species
GACGAACGCUGGCGGCGUGCUUAACACAUGCAAGUCGAACGAAAUGGCGAACGGGUGAGUAACGCGUGAUCACACUGCCAUUGAGUGGGGGACAACAGUUGGAAACGACUGCUAAUACCGCAUACGGAAGGAGGGGAUUGCGACUGAUUAGCUAGUUGGAGGGGUAACGGCCCACCAAGGCGAUGACCAGGAGCCGGUCUGAGGGGGUGAACGGCCACAUUGGGACUGAGACACGGCCCAGAUCCCUACGGGAGGCAGCAGUGGGGAAUCUUCCGAAAUGGACGAAAGUCUGACGGAGCAACGCCGCGUGAGUGAUGACGGGCUUCGGGUUGUAAAGCUCUGUUAAUCGGGACGCGGUACCGGAAUAGAAAGCCACGGCUAACUACGUGCCAGCAGCCGCGGUAAUAC